CGAACGGGUGCGUAAUACAUAAGAAUCUGCUUUAGAGAUCGAGAUAAUUAAUAUUAGAUUUAGAUUUAGUAUUAAAAAUAUCGAAUGAAUAGGCUUAUAUAAGUCGCUUUAAAAUGAGCUUAUGCAAGAUUAGGUAGUUGGUUAGGUAAAAGCUGACCAAGCCCAAGAUCUUUAGUUGGUCUGAGAGGAUGAUCAGCCACACUGGAACUGAGAUAAGGUCCAGGCUCUUAGCCAGCAGUGUGGAAUCUUGGACAAUGGGCGAAAGCUUGAUCCAGUAAUAUUGCGUGAACGAGGAAAGCAAAAAAGAUUCAUAAACACACGCAAGUGUGCGUAUGGAUUGGCUGUAAAGUUAUUUCGGCUAAUGAAGAUAAUGACAUUAAUUAGAGAAGAAGCUCCGGCUAAUUUCGUGCCAGCAGCCGCGGUAAUACGAAAGGAGUAAGCGUUAUCCUAAAUGAUUGGGCGUAAAGUGUUUGUAGGCGGUAUUUUCUGUUAUAUGUAAAAAAUUAGGAUAAUCUCUUAUUGAUGCGUAUAAUACUUUAAUACUUGAGUAUAAUUGGGAAUAACAGAAUUUUAUAGGGAAGAGUAAAAUCUAUAGAUCUAUGAAGGAAUGCCAGAGGCGAAGGCGGUUAUUUGGGUUAUUACUGACGUUGAGGAACGAAAGCAUGGGGAGCAAACAGGGUUAGAUAUUCUGGUAGUCCAU
rnacentral:rRNA from 1 species